rnacentral:rRNA from 1 species
UACAGAGGUCUCAAGCGUUGUUCGGAUUCAUUGGGCGUAAAGGGUGCGUAGGUGGCGCUGUAAGUCGGGUGUGAAAUUUCGGAGCUUAACUCCGAAACUGCAUUCGAUACUGCGGUGCUUGAGGACUGGAGAGGAGACUGGAAUUUACGGUGUAGCGGUGAAAUGCGUAGAUAUCGUAAGGAAGACCAGUGGCGAAGGCGGGUCUCUGGACAGUUCCUGACGCUGAGGCACGAAGGUCAGGGGGAGCAAACGGGG